CUCCCCUUCAGUAUCACUCUCUCUCCUCUUUCGUUCUUCUUCAUCUUCUCUUAGGGUCUGAUAAGUCUGUAUUUAUGGCCUUGAAUCCCAUCAUUUUUUCCAAUCUCUUUCUCGAUAAUAUGCUGCUUUCGAUUCUCUAUUCAUUCAAGGUGUGCUGAUAUGUUGAUUUGUUUUGGCGAACUCAUUUUUCGUUGAGUUGCGCAGAGCUGAAUCUUGAUUCAGAAUUAAUUCAGAUUUUGGGGGUUUUAAUUCUUGUGAAUCAAUCGUUGAUUUGUUGUGUUGAUAUUCUAAAUUGUGAAGAGAUUUUUGGCUCCUUACUGUUGUUGUUGUUGUUGUUGUUGUUCAUCGUCUAGGGUUUGGCGAUUUCAUCGUUUUGCAGCUGCCUACGGUUCCACAUUCGCUGUACAGCCUCUCCCUUGCUCUAAUCCUGAUGUUUGGGGUGUUCUUACCGCUAUUUCGAACGAUUCUCUUAAGCGGUCUUAGUCGUUUUGAGGGGAGCUUGUAUGUGAGGUAACUGACAAUCAAGCCAUCUGUAUUGCACGAAGUGUUAGGGAAUUGAUCGGGAAUUGAUCUCUAGCUGCUAGUGACAUUAGGAGCAAGUACAGAGGGAGGAAGAGACUCUACACAUCAUGUUGGGAAUGCCAAGCAUGGUCUUUUUGACUUAUAAGAAAGCUAAGGGGUUGUUUGGAGUUCCAUUCAUUCACUAUGAUACUCUUGCGGAAAUAUACGCAAAAGACAAAGCUACCGAAGAUGCAAGUUAAUUGUUCGUUGAUGCUAUAGAAGAUAUGGAAUUAAGAGAUUGAUAAGCAACCAUUGAAAGUGAUGAAGAAGAUUAUGUGAAUUCUACUCAUUCUUCCGCAAGUGAUUCUACCACUCAAUCCGGAAAACGCUCUAUAAAGGCGAAGGAGGCUAAGGUGAAAGGAAAGUAUAAGAGGGCUGAAGAGCUUGUGUAGGAAUGAUGAUGAUGAUUUGGUUGCCUCCCUGGAUGAUGUUUCCAACUGUUUUGGGAAAAUAUUUGUAAAUGUCAAUGUUAACUUUGAAUGCCCUUUUUUUUUUUUUUUUUUUUUUUUUUUUUUUUUUUUUUGGUUUGGAAACAAGAAUUUCAAUUAUUUUAAUAAUCAAUAAUUUAUGUGACUUUGUCUAUAUCUAGUCUAUAA